CACUAGAUAACCUAAAAAAGGUCUAAGUCUUUUAAACUUAUCAUAGAUACCCUUCUUCAAGUGA
rnacentral:tRNA from 1 species